AAAUAAUUCUAUUCCAAUUUCUUAUUUUAUUGUGAUCACUGAUCAGAAAUUCAAUAGAAUUCAGUCUGUUAUCUAUUUUACUUCGUGAUUAUAAAUGACAUUUUAUAUUUUGUAGCUUAUACAUUUUUAAAGAUAAACUAUAUUAUAUGUUUAUCAAAUACAUAUAACCGUGGUUUAGGCUACACACCCAAGUAUUUUGGUAUCAAGACCUAAACGGCACAUUGCGCUUCAAAGUUAUGCAUUAAAUUGUUCAGCAAAUAUUGAUAUUUUAGAGUUUAAAGAAUAAUUUUCUGUAAUAUUUGCUCAUGAAUAAAAAGAAAGACCGUGUAUUAAGUAACGUUUAGCUUUCAAAGAUAAUUUUAUAUGAAAUCUAAAAACUAAUAUAACACGCAUUGGAAAGUGUCUAUACAACUAUUAGAUAAAAAUAUGUUACACUUCCAAUAACUUUAUACUUUUAUCACAUGCGUUCAGUGUUUUUAAUAUUUUAACGGUUUAAACCAAUAAUCUAAAAAAAUUUUCUUUUUAUUCGUUACAAAACCCGUUCUUCCUGAUAAGAUUACUUGGUUUGCUAUAAAAAGAACAAAUUUCAGUGUUAUAAAAAACAAUAUGUAUAUGUCUACAUCAAUUAACGACCGAGUUAAGUAAAACCGGUUGUCACUUUUCUCCAAAUUUUGAAGAUGCAGAAACUGCGUCUUUAGGAAGUUUAGAGAAGUCUAUAAAUAUGAAAUCUAUAAAUCCAAAUAUUGUCUGAGAUCAAUAUUUUACGACUCAAUUCAAAGAAAAUACUUAAAAUCAUUUGACAUGAUCUAUUAAGACUUGAACACGGUAUGUCUUCCUGCGAUAAAUCGUAUAAAACUUAUGUACAGCCACACAUUGAAAAUCGCUAAACAAUUCUAUUUAUAUUCUUACUAUAUCCGUGUUAAAGUAUUAAUUAAUAGUAACGUAAGCAUUUCUCGGUGGAUAGAUAAUAUAUCUAAUCUUAUAGCAUCAAUAGUUUUUGUAAUCAUCUUACAAUGAGGACACUGUUUUAUGCACACACAUAAGAUUUCUUACAUGCAUAACUGUUGCAUAAUUGCAAAUAAUUUCUGCAUGGGACGACUUAAAAAGAAGGACAGGACGUCAGUUAUACAAUAUCACACUCUUUUGGAGAUUUGAAUAGCAGCAAGAUAAACCCUUGAGCAACUUUUCAAACGACAGCGGACAGUGUUAAGCGAAAGAUUGAUAACAACAACAACACCGACGAAUGAAUCUGUUUACACAUACUACAUUACAUUUACACCCAAUAAUACAAUAGGCUCCAGCAACGCCUCGUUAACAAUCGCGAAUGAUGACCACGGUGAAUGCCCAAACACAAUGUCCGAUCUUCGUUACUUCAUUUUGUAAUAAUUUUAUAUUAAAGUAUUGUUGACUAAGCAAAAUGUAUACUUAGACAUUGAGGUAACCUCGAAUAGCGUAAACAAUACCAUAACCAAAUUUAUUAUAAAAAUUACAACGUUGUUUUUUCUUUAAAUAAAUAUGAUACAUAUUCGUUUAA